AACGUAGGAGACAAACGUUAUCCGGAAUUACUGGGCGUAAAGCGUGCGCAGGCGGCGCGUUAAGACAGGUGUGAAAGCCCCGAGCUUAACUUGGGAAUUGCGCUUGUGACUGGCGAGCUGGAGUGUGGCAGAGGGAGGUGGAAUUCCACGUGUAGCAGUGAAAUGCGUAGAGAUGUGGAGGAACACCGAUGGCGAAGGCAGCCUCCUGGGCCAGCACUGACGCUCAUGCACGAAAGCGUGGGGAGCAAACAGG
rnacentral:rRNA from 1 species